AGCCAAAUGGGUGUGGUGGCCAGAAACCAAUCAAUAGACAAUAGGGGUUCUGGACCUUCUGGUUCUCCAUUCUCGUACACAUUCAUUCAUUUUCUUUUUUCGCGCAAAAAUCUCUUCUUUCUCUUGCUAACCACUUGCUAACCAGACGAUCGAUAUUGGAAAAGCUGAACCUUGCAAGGAACAUUUGUAAGACGGUCUUUAGAUACAGAACGUUGAACGAGCGUCUCAGAAAUACCGCAGCGGAAUUUGAUGCCAUUAAUGACGAUUUCUACAAAGUCAGGGCAGACCCCAACUUCCGGAACUCUCUGUCGAAUUGUCCAAAGUUGAUUGAGGAGGCUGAACAUGUCCGUCAAGUGGCUCAACAGGCUGAAGAGACAGUUAGUAAACUCAUUCGUGGUUAUACACAUUUCAAGGUCUCCUUUUCUCUCUCUCUCUCUUCUUUCUUCACACUCCAAAUUGUAUCGUUUGCUGACUGUUGAUAUGAUGUUGUAUUCUUCACCAACAUGAGGAACCAAAUCUUGACAGCUUCAAUUUGUUCAAAAGUUCUGUUGCACCAUCUGUAGCAGCUACCAUGGCUAGCGUCCUACUUGUGGUGAUUUCAUAUAAAAAACAUUUGAGGAAGAAGUACGAAGAAAAGUUACAUAAGGCGACUGCAGAUAAAGGAGGGACAUUUGAAGGAAAAGU